rnacentral:rRNA from 1 species
AAUAUUGCACAAUGGAGGAAACUCUGAUGCAGCGACGCCGCGUGAGUGAAGAAGGUCUUCGGAUCGUACAACUCUGUCCCUGGUGAAGACAGACAUGACGGUAGCCAAGGAGGAAGCCCCGGCUAACCACGUGCCAGCAGCCGCGGUAAUACGUAGGGGGCGAGCGUUGUCCGGAUUUACUGGGCCUAAAGGGUGAGUAGGCGGUGAUAUGUGUCAAAUGUAAAAGGCUAUGGCUUAACUAUAGUUAGCAUUUGAAACUGUAUUACUUGAGUGCAGGAGAGGUAAGUGGAAUUCCUAGUGUAGCGGUGAAAUGCGUAGAUAUUAGGAGGAACACCAGUGGCGAAGGCGACUUACUGGACUGUAACUGACGCUGAGUCACGAAAGCGUGGGUAGCAAACAGG